rnacentral:tRNA from 1 species
GGGUCGGAAGCAUUCCGGCGAUGCAACGGACUUUUAAUCCGUGGAGCAGGGUUCAAUUCCCUGCCGACCCA